rfam:Heligmosomoides polygyrus genome assembly, scaffold: HPBE_scaffold0010396
GCGCUGGUGGUGUAAGGCGUAGUAUCGCUGUCCGGAAAGCAGAAGUUGCGGGUUCGAGUCCCGCAUGGCGCA